rnacentral:rRNA from 1 species
UACGUAGGGUCCGAGCGUUAAUCGGAAUUACUGGGCGUAAAGCGUGCGCAGGCGGUUUUGUAAGCCAGAUGUGAAAGCCCCGGGCUUAACCUGGGAAUGGCAUUUGGGACUGCAAGGCUGGAGUACGGCAGAGGGAGGUGGAAUUCCAGGUGUAGCAGUGAAAUGCGUAGAUAUCUGGAGGAACACCGAUGGCGAGGCAGCCUCCUGGGCUAGUACUGACGCUCAUGCACGAAAGCGUGGGGAGCAAACAGG